rnacentral:rRNA from 1 species
UAGUGGCAGACGGGUGAGUAACAUGUGGGUAUCUGCCCUUUGGCCUGGAAUAACACGAGGAAACUUGUGCUAAUACCGGAUAAGUCUUUACGGAGAAAGCUUUAUGCACCAUUGGAUGAGCCCGCACUUGAUUAGUUUGUUGGUGGGGUAAUGGCCUACCAAGACUGUGAUCAAUAGCUGAUUUGAGAGGAUGAUCAGCCACAUUGGGACUGAGACACGGCCCAAACUCCUACGGGAGGCAGCAGUGGGGAAUCUUGCACAAUGGAGGAAACUCUGAUGCAGCGAUGCCGCGUGAGUGAAGAAGGCCCUUGGGUUGUAAAGCUCUUUCGUCGGGGAAGAAAAUGACUGUACCCGAAUAAGAAGGUCCGGCUAACUUCGUGCCAGCAGCCGCGGUAAUACGAAGGGACCUAGCGUAGUUCGGAAUUACUGGGCUUAAAGAGUUCGUAGGUGGUUGAAAAAGUUGGUGGUGAAAUCCCAGAGCUUAACUCUGGAACUGCCAUCAAAACUUUUCAGCUAGAGUAUGAUAGAGGAAAGCAGAAUUUCUAGUGUAGAGGUGAAAUUCGUAGAUAUUAGAAAGAAUACCAAUUGCGAAGGCAGCUUUCUGGAUCAUUACUGACACUGAGGAACGAAAGCAUGGGUAGCGAAGAGGAUUAGAUACCCUCGUAGUCCAUGCCGUAAACGAUGUGUGUUAGACGUUGGAAAUUUAUUUUCAGUGUCGCAGCGAAAGCGAUAAACACACCGCCUGGGGAGUACGACCGCAAGGUUAAAACUCAAAUGAAUUGACGGGGACCCGCACAAGUAGUGGAGCAUGUGGUUUAAUUCGAAGAUACGCGCAGAACCUUACCAACACUUGACAUGUUCGUCGCGACUCUAAGAGAUUAGAGUUUUCGGUUCGGCCGGACGAAACACAGUGCUGCAUGGCUGUCGUCAGCUCGUGUCGUGAGAUGUUGGGUUAAGUCCCGCAACGAGCGCAACCCU